rnacentral:lncRNA from 1 species
AUGUGUCUGUCUGUGACGAGGUUUGGUCGGCUGUGACGCCAGGUUUGAGCAGCUCCAGAGACUGUCUAAGUUACUCACCACUAUGGCCAGUCUGAUGGAUGGAUGGAUGCUACUGUGUGAUGAAGAGAUGGAGUUCUUACCAGGGGCGAUGAUGAUGACCAUGGCUGAAAUAAGCAUGUCUUGAGCAAUUAAGACAACUGUGGCCCGUGGGUACUAAAUUAGAGCGCACCCUUACCUCUCUUGCAGCAAUUCAAUUCAUAGCUAAUGUUGGAUCGUUCUGUGCCUUGGACGGUCAUUCUGAUGAAUGAUAACCAGGACAAUCCUCUUACAUCGCGAUGGGUAGAUUAUGCAGCAAGCUAUGUGAGUGUUCGGCUUUAAGAUGAAAGGCAAAACUGAGCCCUCUUUUGCUACGCUACAAAUAUUUGAUUUUACCUUCUUUAAUAUGCAUUGUUUUUUCUUUUCUAUUCCUCUCUAUUGUGUUGAUGUGAGUAACGACCCAUCUGGACUUGGAUUUAUGUCUUCCGAACACAACAUAUUUGUUUCCGUUGUGUGUUGAUGAGUUCUAUUCUUUUCUGAAUGGCUAUGAUGAUUUCCUCCCACUUGGUGUUGAAUAUCUAUCAACAUAUCCAGAGAUAUAGAUUGCUGGUAUUAUGUUUGCUUUUCAGUUGUUUUACCCCUGGCAGUUUUCUCUUCCCUUAUUACACAACCCUCUUGAGCUGUGAAUUGAGCUUGUCCUGCAUGUCUUAUAUUUUUGGUAGGCUGGGAGAUAUUUUAACCAUAUUCUCAGUUUCAGUUUCAGUUAGCAAUCUUUCUACACCUAGCAUGAGAAAACCUUGUACUGUCAUUCAGUACAUUAUAGCAUCUGUUGAACAAUGUUCUCUUGUGAGUGUUGGGCUUUAAGAUGAAAGGCAAAACUAAGCCCUCUUUUGCUACGCUACAAAUAUUUGAUCUGUGUGAUGAAGAGAUGGAGUUCUUACCAGGGGCGAUGAUGAUGACCAUGGCUGAAAUAAGCAUGUCUUGAGCAAUUAAGACAGUUGUGGCCUGUGGGUACUAAAUUAGAGCGCACCCUUACCUCUCUUGCAGCAAUUCAAUUCAUAGCUAAUGUUGGAUGUUCUGUGCCUUGGACGAUCAUUGUGAUGAAUGAUAACCAGGACAGUCCUCUUACAUCGCGAUGGGUAGAUUAUGCAGCAAGCUAUGUGAGUGCUGGGCUUUAAGAUGAAAGGCAAAACUGAGCCCUCUUUUGCUACGCUACAAACAUUUGAUUUUACCUUCUUUAAUAUGCAUUGUUUUUUUCUUUUCUAUUCCUCUCUAUUGUGUUGAUGUGAGUAACG